rnacentral:hammerhead_ribozyme from 1 species
AUCCAGCUGACGAGUCCCAAAUAGGACAACGGAACGCGCGUCAAACUGGAU